AAACUGAUAUUCCGAUAGGUGGAAUGAUAGGGUAACGCCUUGAAACGUCUACCUUAAAACUACGACAGGCGGAGCCGUGCAAUCGGUUCCCCGUCUGAGAGCUCGUGAAGUCGGCAGAAGUCUGCCCAAACAGAGCAUUAGCUGCUGUGGAAAGCGGCUUGGAGGCAAGCUGUGCAGAUGAUAUGCCGGAGGUCUAUAAA
rnacentral:ncRNA from 1 species